UUUUCAGUGGACAUUGAGACCCCAUUCGAAUAUAUGCUGUGGCGGAUUUUCUUUUCGAUACAGUUUGCCACUCAGAGAUUACAGUGGGAGAAAUCAAGGGUUGCCAAUUCUCCUUUCUAUAAAUAAAUAAUUCCUGCCUUGGGCUCUUAGAAUCGGAUACGCCCUAGGAACACUGCGACUAAUCUGCGCAGAGAAGACAGGAUUCAAAUUAUUAGAAACAGAUCAAUUUGAAAUCUGUAGCACAGAGCCUCCACCAUUAUGUUGGAAUAAACCAUGGCUAGGCCUAGGCUUUCACGUUUUCAAGAUGAUGUUCCCAGCAAAGCUUAUGUCA
rnacentral:sRNA from 2 species